GUUUUGGUAGCUCAGGUGGCAGAGCACUGGACUAGCGAUCCAGUCGUCGUGGGUUCAAGUCCCACCCAAGACU